UUUGCGCUUAUAAUAACUAAAUGUAAUUGUUCAUUGGUGUGGACACUAAUAUAUUAUAAUUUUUUGGUGUGAACGAGCCUCAAGUCUUGAAUCUCAGAUCUGAUUCACUCAUUCAAAGCUUGACAGCCCCUGGUCACCAUUGACUGUCAUUGUAUGGGAGAGAAUAGCAUGAACAUCCUGCCAAACAUGUCUUUUCCUUCUCAUUCGGGUUUGUAACGUCUUGAAGGCAUUUUACUAUAAAGUGCUGGAGGGAUUGAGGAUUUUGAAAGCUGUAAGAAACAUUUGCCAUCCUGUAGAGCCGAAAAAAUGAGCAGUGGCCAUUACAACUUGCAGACUUCAUCUCAGCACAGGAUGAUAGCAGCAACCUGAAGUUAAAUAGAGAUUUAUCAAUUCAUUUUCCUCUCAAAUGUGUCAAGCUGCUUAAGUUGUAGUAGCUAUUAGGAUUUGCAAAUUGAACAGACUUGCUGACAGCCUGGGUAGCUGUUCAUCAGGAUGAAGUGUAGAUGUGGAGGAACCCCAGAUACUUUAUCUCUAGAGUUAAUUUUUGGAGAAUCUGCGAAGUCGUGCCCAGCCGUUGUCUGCUUUCUGUCCAGCAAUUCCCGAUCGGCGCGCACAGCAAUUCAAUGCAGCCAAACAAAGACAAUGUGAGAGAUGUUUACCAAUCGUGUGCUGGACACAAUGGGGAUGGAAAGUCCAAACAUGUGGGCCGAAAUUCAUUUCUUCGGGAUGCUUGUCAAACACGGUGCUGCCAAUUAAACACUUCUCCAAAAACCUGGAAGCCUGCUGUUCUGUAAUGAAAGCUGUAACUGCAUGACUGAACAUAGCCAUUGUGUGUGUAUGGGAUAAAACACUGGAUACCUAGCGUGUCCCCUAGCUUAAUAUGUAUGCUGCGAUGACUCUUAA